UUACUUGUGUGUUAAUGUAAACAGAUACGAACUUUACAGUCGAAUAAUCAUGGUUCUUAGCCGCUAUUGCUGCAAAAAUUGGUUCGGAUCAAAAGAAGGGUUAAAGUUCUUUCGCUUCCCUGAAGUUGACAAGUUUCAGGAUCAAACUAAGCGUGGAUAGAUGCCGAAACACGUCCGCCAGCGCAACAGGCAUAGAAUAUAGAUUGGCAACCUUCACGACAUGAUCACAAUUGGUGCAUGAUCAUGAUGAUGACCGGAUAUGCAUGCAUGCAUGCAUGGUGUGACCACUUUGUGUCUGGGUAAUUAUCAUUCAUCUUAAGCGCUACAAAUUUGAUUUCUGACGCCUUCCAGUACUCCAAGCUCCGUCGCCGCAUCCUCAUACCCAGGUACUUGUCCGUCCACUACCACUGCACCGAGGAAACCCAGAGUCCAACAUCUCUCCCAAAGUCAUUAGUCAACGGGACGUCAUCUCCAAGGCCACAACAACUCAAUGCCGAGAGAACUCAAAGGUUGUCCCUCACAGCCCCGUCGACGAGGGAAUCUAAUUGGUCUGCAAGGAGCGAGUCGUUUUAAGCCCUCGCGCUUCAGUUUUGCGCCCUCAAGGAAGAGGCUGAACUAUGACGACAACAGUAAACAACCAAGGCAAACCAUUCUCCUGGAAAGUAACACAGACUCAGACGAUGACGAGACCAAAAAAGUCUUAGAGAUGAGUAAAAAAGAGUCGGAGAGAAAAAAGCGAGAGGCAGAUGAGAGGUUGCGGCUUGAGGAAGAAGAAUUGAAAAAGGAAUCCUUGAGAAGAUGACACUCUGAGAUGUGCAGGAAGAUGUGUGGGGAGGCAGCCCACCUGCAAGGCCUCCCCUGAAAUGGCUGCUGAAGAGACACGAGUACAUAAAGUGCCAUAGAAGCUUUACUGAAAUUAGUGAAAUAUGCCAUCAUCCUGCAAUACACACAUGGUCUAAAAGAGAAAUGACAAGACAAGCACAUAAGAAAAUGAGAUGAUGGAAAACCUCUUCAGUUGUUUGUGUUCUGCUCAGAUGUUGCCUAGCGACAAGGGAUGCUCAGUACUUUGAUAACAUCUUCUCCACAUUGGGAGAGAUUGAAAGAGAACAGGUGAUGAGGAGGGUGACUCCAGGAAUGCGGCCCCAUUACAAUGUGAGCAUGAGGCGACCACGGACACAUGUUUAUGCCAGACUGCAACACUGUACUAAUGAAACUCAAUGCAUGCAUCAAGGACAUUCACCAAAGAGCCACUGCAAACAAGAUGAUGCUUAAUGCUGCAAAGCAUUGGUUCUUCAUUUUACAUCAAGAUUUUCACAACAGCCACUUCCAGUCAUUUCCAUCACGGUUGGUGAUGUGAAACCACUCAACGAAAGCCAGAAAUCUCUGUGCAGUCAUGGAUGAACAUCUACAUGUAUCACCGAAGGCCCAUGUCUCUACCCUAUAUGCCGCUCUUAAAUUACUGUCAUCCAAAGAUGUUUUAAAUUUAGAAAAUAAUGAUCCACACAAAUACACCUGGAAAUUGUUUAGUUUUCCUUGGCCGUCU